ensembl:lncRNA
CAGCACAGAUUCGUUGAAGUUACUUAUCUGAAAUUCAGACAUCCCCUUUAAAAUAUUAAAAUAUGGAAUUGGAACCACACGCCAGAAAAUAGAGCCAUGAAGUCCUCUGGGAAUCUGCACCUUUCUUUUUUUUAAAACUUAACAGUUACAACUUCUCAUAUUUGAGUUGAUAACAUCUAAAAAACGAGAGAAAAAGACAGGACAAUUCUCUGAAAUAAUAAGUUGUAGUCCGUGUCACGCGUUGAGCUCAGCGCGCAGCGGAAAGGACGCACUCGUGGUCGCGCGGCUGUGAUGCGCGGCGGAGGAUCCGCGACGCGGCAAACGCGCUUCACCCAGCAGGUGGAUGUGACGUCACGGACCUGGAACAUCAAAAACAACAACAUCCAAAUCGGCGAUUCUCGCCCUCUCGCAUGUUUUCUCCCCUUCUUCUCCCUCCGUGUAACCAUCUGAACAUCAGCCGAGGAGGAGGAGAGCAGCUCGCGCGUUUCCCCGCCAGCACCGGGAGUCAGCGCGCGCCAAACUCCACGUUUCGCUUCUUUUUCCUCGACGCCCUCCUCGGCGAGACGAGCUUUUUCCUCCUCGUAGUUAAGUUAGUAAGUUAGUCCCCCACCUCCUCCUCCUCCACCGGCACCUCCUCCUCCACCGGCACCUCCACCUCCACCGGCCGCUGUUGACGGUGCGAUCUGUUGUCGCGUGCACGGCUCCGUUAUUGCAUCGGUAGCCCCGCGCGUGUCCACGCGGGUAAGUUACCUUAAUGUUAACGUCAGUGUGUGUGUGUGUGUGUGUGCGUGCGGGCAGCGCCGCGUCCGCCGCUCGUUUUGUGUCGCUGUGAAAGUUGUGUUUGUUAACUUAGUUGUGUCUCGUCGCGAGCCCCCCCACCAGCACCACCACCAGCACCACCACCACCAGCAGCACCACCCGGCGCGUGCACGCGGCGCGGCGUCGUUAAAGCGACGUUAGUUAACUUGUGAGGGUCGUGAUUUGAGGCGCGGGGCACCGCAGGGGGGCUUUUCUCCCCCCACGUGUCCGCUCCCAACCAGCCGGGAAGAAGGUGCUUCAACGGGGCUGUUCGCCGACACGAGACGGCGUUAAAAGCGGAUGUUCAACACGUCGCGGACACACAGGAUUCAGACGAUUUAGUCUCUAGUUUAGUUUAGUUUAGUUUAGUUCUGGCUCCUCGUUUGGUUCCGCGGGUUCUACCGGCGGUGGUUCUUCUGGGGUCAAAGUGGACAUUCUUCUGUGUGUAAAGGAGCGGAAGUUGCAGAGCACUUUAUUCACUUUGGAAAAAUAAGGUUUAAAUUGUGUUAAAUCAACAAUGACCCGUUAUUGCUAUUGAGUGGACGGGUAAAUUAAUUUUAUAAUAAUAAUAAUAAUAAUAUUGUAAUAUUGUAGUUUUCUACUAUCCAAAUAAAUGUAACGUUGGGUGAGCAAAAUUAAUUUGCCUGUACAAAUAAAUUCAAAGCAGUGAAAUUUAUAUAAAAAAUAUUUCAGCUCCUUUUUAGCUCUGUUUUAAUUUUAUAAUACAAAACAGGUGUAUUGCGGACAAAUGAUUUAAUGUUUACAUAUCACAAACAAAUGUCCUUCAUUACUUAUUAGUCAUUUGUAAUGUGAGACAGAAUUUUUAUUCUCACCAAAAUGAUAACUUCAUAUAAAAAAGAUAGCGAUUAUGUAUCUCUAUUGAGAGUGAACCGCGUACACGAGAGAAUGAAGCAUUCCCCUAAUAUAUUUUUUUACAGUAAGUCUGCAGCUGGCAACAGCAGGACCUUUUUAUAAAAGGGAAACUGCAGCUUUAACAGCGAUUGCUGGCAGUGCUCCCUCCCUCUUGCUCUUUGGAUUAGUCAUUGUCUGAGGGGGAAAAAAACCCACUUUUUUCUGUAGGAGAAGUAAAGUAAACAGCCUCCAACAAGCGAACCUUGACAACCCAGAUUAAGGAAAACAGUGGAGAUCAAACAGUGGUGCUGCUGGGCUGUUGUCAUGAGCUGCCUGAGAGAGAGCCGCAGACUAUUUGAACAGGCACCGGGUUUGUGUGCUCACUUAUGCAGAAAUGGACCCUUUGCAAACGCUGACCCUACGUUUUAAAAAACAACAAAAAAAAAAAAAUGCAGGGUGAACUUUCUCUGCAACUUUUCCCCGGCCUGCGUUUGCACAUCAGACGCUCUGCUGGGAACCGUAACGCCGGCUGCUUCUGGAAACUGGAAUGUCUGUACUUCUCUCUGCUCCACAACUGAAUAAAUUACGUUUGCAGCGGGGUGAGGGGGGGUAAAAAGAUGCUUAAAAUUUGAGGAAGAGCAGCUGUAUGCGUUGCAAUGACGCAAGAUCCUUAACGCCUGUGAUUUGGUAUGGCAUGGAAAGCGCCUGUUGGUAGCCGGGCCUCCCCAGGCGGGGCCCGAGGCUCUCCUUUGUAGCGCGUUGAGGUUCAACGGGUAAGAAAGUAAUCAGUCACUCAAGCAUUCAGCGCCAGGACUCCCAUCCCUGAGUGCAGCGGCCUCUCUUUCAUCUGACGGCUCAGUAUUUGUGAACACACACCGAAAUACCCCGUGCCGGGUACGGAGGGGCCGUUAGCCGCCCGGCUCGCAGCCCGACGAUAAGGAGAGUUAUUGUCCCGUGCAGUGUGGGAAAUAAGGUUUCCGCGUUUGCUCCAUUGUUUCUUUCAGAUUUAUUUGCCUUUCUUCACCCCUCAUUUGGUUUCAGGCGCGAGACGCCCUCGAAGCACUUGCUUGAGACUCUUUUUUUUCUUUUUUUUUUUCCCCCCCACAAAGCGAGACAAGUGACAGAUGAAUAAAGGGAAUCCUUCUGGUAGAUGACUUUGUAUAUUUUGGCAUGUUUGAUUGAGUUAUCGCGAGGUGAUGACAAAGGCAAAGCGGAACGAUAUUCCCAGGGUCGGUGUGUCCCGGCCCCCCGCGGCGCGGCGCGGCGCGGCCAUGCAGACGGUCGUCCAUGCCGGCCGAGGCCAUUGGUCGGAGGGGAGCAGCAGCUCUGUGGAGACGGCAAAGCACUGAAGACGCCCAUUGACUCAUGCAGCCAUGAGUUACUGUCUUCUCCUGUGAUGUGACCUUAAUAGAGGGAGGGACGCUGUCAAGCGCUUCUCAUCCGCGCAACUACGUCAUUCAGAAAUGAGCUCCCCGCCGGUGUCGUCUUUGUGCCUUGAAGCAGCUGUUGUUCGUGUUGUUCUCAGAUGAAACCGGUGUUUUAUUUUAAUGCUUGCCGUACAUGCGGUGCAGGCUGUUGCAGAACACGUUUCCUCCGCUCUAUCAAUUUACAUCUAGGUUUUUUUUUUUUGUCCACAAAUAUUAGCUUCCUGUCUGAGGCUCGGAAUACAACAAACAUUAUUAUUCAUCUGAUCAUUUCCCCAAUUAAUCCGUUCAUUGAUAACUUGUUUAUUCAAUAAAAUAUCAGAAUUGUGAAAUGUCUCCCAAAGCCCAAGAUGAGGUUCUCAAUGGUGUUUUAAAAUGUUUUUUUAUGGUCAACAUCUCAGAUAUUCUGGUUACUCUCACAGGGGAGUAAAAAACAAGAGAACAUUAUCAAGUUUAAGUAGUUGCAAUAAAUAAUAUAAAUAAAUAGUUUAUAAAAAUGCAGGAUAGUUUUUAUGAUGGAUGGUUGGGAGAUUAAGUAUUUGAUACCGAUGCAGAUUUGUAAUUUGUAUCAUAGAUACUCUUCAACUGUGAGUGACGGAAUCUGAAACAAAGCCAGACAAUUACAAAAAAUGACUUUGCCGUUUAUUGCAUGACACAAGUAUUUGAUCAGAAAAGCCAAAGUUAAUAUUUGGUACAGAAACCGUUGUUUGCAAUUAGACAUCAUACGUUUCCUGUAGUUUUUGACCAGGUUCCACACACUGCAGCAGGGAUCUUGGCCCUCUCCUGGAGACGAGCUAGGCCACUCCAGGACCUUCGGCUGCUUCUUUCUCCUUAGCUGCCCCGGCUGUGUGUUUUGGGUCGUCAUGCUGGAAGACUCAGCCAAGACCCAUCUUCAGUGCUCUCACUGAGGGGAGGUUUUUAUCUGGCGAUACAUACAAACACGGCCAGUGGAGUUUAGACUAAAAAGCUCUAUUUUUGUCUCAUUAGACCACAUGACCUUCUCUCGUACCGCCUCUGGAUCAUCCAGAUGCUCAUUGGCAAACUUCAGACAUCUAGACCUGCGCUGGUUUGAGCAGGAGGACCUUGCGUGCGCUGCAGGAUCUUAACCCGUGGCGACGUAGUGUGUCACUAAUGGUGGUCCCAGCUCUCUUCAGCUCAUUGGCCAGCGCCGUGUGCUUCUGGGCUGAUCCCUCACCCUCCUCGUGACCAUUGAUGCCCCACGAGGUGAGAUCUUACAUGGAGCACCAGACCGAGGGAGAUUGGCCGUCAUCUUGAACUUCUUCCAUUUUCUAAUAAUUGCUCAAGCAGCUGUUGGCUUCUCACCAAGCAGCUUGUCUGUUGUCCCGUAGCCCGUCUAGAACUCUCUCCCUGAUGUCCUUACACAGCUCUUGUCCAUUGUGCAGAGUCUGUUUGGUUGACAGGUCUCCUACUGGUUGGUAGGUGAUCAAAUACUUACGUCAUGCAAUAUACUGCAAAAUAUCUAUUUUUGAAAUGAUACAAUGUGAUUUUCUGGAUUGGUUUUAGAUUCCGUCACUCAGAGUUGAAGAGUACCUUUGAUACAAAUGACUCCUACAUGCUUCAUAGGUGGGAAACCUGCAACCUCAGCAAUGUAUUAAAUACUUGUUCUCUCCACUGUAUUGAUCAUUGCAGCUGGAUGACGCAUCGCUGCAGGAAGCAAGCUGAUUUGAGACGCGAUGAAGACAACAAAUAGAAGAAUAACUGAAGCGAGUUGGUUUUGUGUGUGUUGUGGUUUGCGUUGACAUUUGACACCUGCUUCAGGGGAGUGAGGUUCUGACACCUAAUCAGGAUGCGUAUCGUUAGAGCUGUUUAAACCAACAAAACGUAGCAGAUUUAACAUUUAACCAACACUGCCAGAUUCCUGCACACUAUUCCCUGUUCAAGUAAUAACUUAAAGCCUUCUCAAAUAGAGCGGCCCUUGUCUGUUUUGGGAAUGAUGCAGGUAAGCUACAAACAUUCCCACCCAGGCGUGAGGGGGCUCAGCCAGAUGCUCAGCUGCCGGGCCGCACCGCACCACCUGUUUCCAUCAGCUGUCCAGGCGGCCCGGUGGACUUUCUGUCAAAGAUGCAUCAAUGAGUGUUUACACCGAUGGUGCAGUCUCUGAAGUCAAGGAUCGACUCACCUUUGGGACGCGUUCGUGAAAGCCUGGAGGUGUGAUGCACGUUGUCGUCUCUCUUGUUUGCGGCGAUUUAGGUUGUAGCGGUCCGAUCUCGCAAGGCUCCUCUGGUUUAUUUUGUGUUUAAACGCCGUCGCCCGCUCCGCGGUGCUCCGCGCUAAUCGGGCCGCAGGUGGAAUAACGAUGUUGGGCUGAACCAGAGCGGAGAAAGACAAACCAUGAAAAAAAUGCCACUUAAGGCGCGCUAACUCUCGUCGGCAGCUUGAUGUAAAGCCCGGUAGCAGGAGCACGUCUUUAAGGGCCUCAUCCUCCACUUCUGCUCUCAGCUGGCAGUCCCGGCCUAAUAAGAAACACGACAUGGCAGGGCCCGCUCCUCCGUCGUCAUCGCCGCGUGGAAAAGUUGCCGUUGCUUUGAUCAUGUCUUCUGGGCGCAUCACUCCGGCUUAGCCCGCCGCUCGCUACGUGAUAAGCCAUCAGAGCACUCAGAUCUAAGCCGGCAGCUCCACGGGCUCCAGGAGAGACGGGCGGGAGCGCCGGAGACGAGGAGAGAGCGCCGAUGCAAAUUUUGUUGACAGACUGUUGCCGCAGCUGUUCUCUUCUGCCUUUGAAUUCCGCGAUGUUGCUGUCCGUCUUUGCUCGUCUGUGCGGGAAAGGGCCAAGUUGCAAGACUUUCUCUCCUUAUUGUGGAACGGCGCCGUUCUCGUGUGGUGACUCGGCCACGUUGGCAAUAAGAAAUGCCUUUUUAAAAUUCGACUCAUCGAUUACUCGCCUCAAAAAAAGCCCGAGUUCAUUAUUGCACAACGCGUACCGUGCAAGCGCUGCGUUGUCGCGCCGCUCUCGUCCCGUCUGCAUAAAUCAGGCUUUUCUUUGGACCCCCCAUUAUGAAAGGGCGCUCCUAAUUGACGGGAUGUUGCUUGUUUAUUUGAUGUAUAUUUACCGGCUGGGUGGUAAUUGGGGAGCAGUAAUUACCUGAGAUGCAGCCCGGCGCUCCGGCGGAGGUGCUGCCACGCUGAUGAGUGUGGAGCACGGAGGGAAGUUACUGUCGUCGUCCUCGGGGCUGUUUAAAUAUGUGACAGCGGAGAGCCGCGAUGGCUAAUUGGGCCCCGCGUCCCUCGUACGGGUUUCCGUGUUUACCGUGAUGAUGCACGGUGCGAGAUAAAGCGCGGCGCUUUGUGCAAUCUUUUCUUUUUUGCAGGCCCAUUUGUUGCCAACGUACCUGAGCAGUUCAUAGCAACAAUAAAAAGGUGUGUGUGUGUGUGUGUGUGUGUGUGUGUGUGUGUGUGUGUGUGUGUGUGUGUGUGUGUGUGUGUGUGUGUGUGUGUGUGUGUGUGUGUGUGUGUGUGUGUGUGUGUGUGUGUGUGAGGGCCCUUGUAGAUUUGAAGUCCCUCCUGGAUGAUGUAGUUCCUUCACUGAUAAUGGCCUUGUUAACUGAGAUUCAUUACCUCUUCAUUCAGAGUCCCUUCUGGAUAUCGAGGGAAAGUGUUCUCGAGCUACUCGCUCGCCCACGGUGAAGUCAUGCUGACGCCUUCUGCUGUUUGCCAGCUAUUCGUGGAAGGCGGUGACGGUAUCUUCCCAGACUCCAGAUGAUUCAGUUGACCUGAGGUCAGGGUGGCUGGGUUGGUGUUUGACUUUGUUUGUUACUCAAUUCCACUUUCACACCAUCUCUCUCUCUGUCUGUGUGUGUGUGUGUGUGUGUGUGUGUGUGUGUGUGUGUGUGUGUGUGUGUGUGUGUGUGUGUGUGUGUGUGUGUCUCUCUCUCUCUCUCCCUCAGCAAUUCCCUCAAACGCACAGAGACGCACACCGUGUUUGUGCUGUUGUGUGAUUGCUGGCUCUCCCAGUAGAUCUGCAGACUUUGUUGUUGUUUGCCUGUAUUGGUUGGAGUGUGUGUGUGUGUGUGUGUGUGUGUGUGUGUAGCUCCUUGGAGGGAGUUUGUUUUUGUUCUCCGUGUUGUAAACAGGGCGAGGCUUCGUUCCCAAACCACUCAGUUGGUUAUUUUCGCAGGAGUUUUUUGUUUUGUUUACCAUCUCGGUCAACCGAUUUCUCUGGGAUGGAAUCCGGUUUCGGGGGCCGAUGUGCGGCCAUCCGUCCGUCACUGUCAUCUCUGUGGUGAUUUAAAGAAGCACUUUGAUGACUCAAACCUUCUCAAGGCAGGGUCUUUAAUCAAUGUUACAAUGUUCUCAUUUUUAGUAUGAGAUGAAUUGGUUAACGUGAUCUCAUCGUGGUCUCAGAUGCAGCUGUCAAUCACAGCUAUCAUGAGUUGUUAGUUUGAUAAUAAAUACCUAAAUGACAGAAACCAUAAGAAAACAUCCUAUUUUACAUGUUGUUUGACCACUAAGUUUGGGCUUCACUUUACAAACAGAUCAUUUCUUUUUGUUCCACAUCAUGACACGCUAAUAUAUAUAUAUAUAUAUAUAUAUAUAUAUAUAUAUAUAUAUCUGAAUGCGAAUAGAAGAGGCCUCAGCAGCGGUUUGUGUAGUUGCUGUUAGUGCUCCCUGAUGGGCGUUACCUCUGCACAGUAACCACGCACACCGGUAGUCAGGUGACCACAACAGGCGCGUCUCUGCUGCGUGAAGAUCUGAGAACAACAAGAACGAGGGACAGACGACAGCCGCCAGCAGAUGGACGUCCUUUGAGUCCAGCGAUUACAAAACACGGUCACACAAAACCGCAUUUACCCAAUGAAACGGGGUGGGUCCAUGCCCACAGAGACAGAGACAGAGACGCAGAGACAGAGACAGAGACACGGAGACAGAGACGGACUCUCCAUCUGCUUCUUUCUCUUCUGCGACUCGUCAUCUGCAGCGUCCGUGUGAAACGCCGAUGAGACGCCACAUUCUACUUGUUCCUAUUUAUCUCCAGUAUCACUUCUCAGUGAGUGGCGCUGACACGCUGCGGCGCCUCCCAGCUCGCCGCGGCUAACCGUUUACUGUUUACUGUUUACUGUUUACAGCCCUCUUGUUUGGAGAUUUAGCACCUGUUGUAAAAGCUGCAAAGGCGCCGCAGUUUAAACAAUCAGCUGCUCCGAGUUACUGGAUAUUCCUCUGAAAGGCCGUCCAUGUGGUGCGCGUGGAGUUCGUGAUGCGCAUCGAUUCCUCGCCGCCAGGAACCAGUAAUCCAACUCGUAUCCGACUCCACAGGGGGAUUUGUGUAUUUAGAGUGCGCAUUUGUGUACUUUGUACACAAGCGUACGCUGCGUUUGAGCGGCUCAUUUUAACCACUGAGGCCGAUGUCGCCGCCUCUUUGCUCUUUGGGAGUGAAAUGAAUAGAUGAGCCGUCUCCUUUUAGAGCCUAAUGGCCACAUUGGAGCAGAUGGAUAGCAGAUGAGAAUCCAGUAUCCUUCAUGCACUCGUUCUCUCUCCCUUCCACUCAGUCACGCCGGGCUCUCCGGUCUUUUUUUACCGUAGUGAGAGACCUGUCGGGGGGGAGAGCAGUUUGACAGGCAAAAAUCGCACAGCGGCAGAAAAGAGGAAGUAAAGGAUCGAGUGUUGGCUAAUGUACGAUUUCACGCCGGUGCGGCGAUAUUAGAUGUGUUCUGCCUCCAGUUUAAGUCUCAUUGAUUGCGGCGCCACAUCCUCCCACCAGCUUCGCGCUCUUUUUUUUCCACCGAGGGAGCUCACGCCGGUCGGAGGCCGCGCGUUGUCAAGGUGGAGGCGGGUGGAUGUGUAGACAGCGGCGGAGGCGGUUCCUCACCACCUGAUCCUUCCUGGUUGCUGAGAGGGACGAGGGUGCUUCUGCUCCCAGUGGCCUCCUGUGAUUCCACCUGUGACCUGCAGUCAGCAGCACGGCGGCCUGCUGCAUCCGACCUCUGGUCACUGGCCACCCGAUGCCACGCGCUUCUGCUUUCUGAUCCACGAAGAAGCAUAAUGAACCGUUUCCCCUGCAUUACGGGACCAGGGAGGGUCUGAACAGGUAAUACUGUUACUGUAAAUAUGUACGUAUGUAAACAAUUGUUGUGGUUCACGUCCUAAAUAGUCGCUAAAUGGUGACGAUGAAUCAACGUAGGGGAAACGCUGAUUUCCAUCAGGAUUCCAGUGAGCGGGCACGCCAAUGUUUCCAUGGCAGUAGCGCUGGUUGAUGUGACCUAACGAAACCAAAAACACAUCUGUAUUAUUAAAGGAACCCAUUAUUUUCAGAUCGGGGCCGUGAGCAGCGAGUGCCAAGAGAGGUCUGCUCUGUUACGGUGAAACUAUUUUCUCAGUAUUAGACUUUCGGAAAACGACAAUGAAACAUUAGAAGAAAAAAAUGCAAUUCCUCUGCUUAUUAAUCCACAUCAGAGUGGUGAAAAUGCUGCAUAUCCACAGCUGCCUUUAAACCAGACAAACUGCAACACGCCACACACAGUCUCAGGGUCCAUGCGGUGAUCCAAUGGGUUUCCACUCUGGUAAAUAGAAGAGGACCCCGAUAGAACAACGGUGCCCAGACUGAGCUCUCCCAGUUCCCCUCUGGCUGGGCAGGAGACCUACUUCAGACGGCUCUGAGCAGCUGGACAGAGAUGUUCCUCGCUACUUGAGCUAACGUAAAUGAUUUGCAUGGAGUUUGUCCCCGCUGAUUACGGCGGUUUGGACCGCUCCUCUCUGGAAGAGCGCCAAUCGCGGGAACGCGGCUUCUGGUCCGGGCCCGAGGCUCCAUCUCCUCUUUGCCUCCCCCGGUCCAUUCGCAUCACAGUGACAAUUAGCCAGCUCCACCGUCCCCAAAUGGCACACGUAAUUAAAGAGUUGGCAUUCUAAUUACGAGGUGUUUACUGUCUGUUUAUGGGUUUUGUGCGGCGCAUUACGCACUGGGAGAUUUCCUUUGGUGUAAAUGGAUUGACGGCUGUAAUUUCAUGCGGUUAACAUCUCGACAUCUCCUCCCGUCAGCCGCUUGACGCUUGCCGCGCUCUUAACGAAACGAGCAGAAACUGGCACAAAAGAAUAAAUGUCACUUUGCCGGACUGGGCCUGUAAACGGGCGAUUGGUUCGUUUCUCCUCACUGCCAGGCGGCCGGCCGGCUCUAAAACACCGGCACCCAGAUGGCGUUCACGCGCUCCCGGGGAACCGAGCCCACUGCGCCCGGCCUGCUGCUAAAUGUUGUGUCACCUGACCAGGUUCUUGUGGAAAGGUAGCCCCUCUAAUGAGGAGGGCGGGAUAAAGCCAGAAGAGUGAGAGAGAUUCUUCUUCACACACGGGAGGAAAGCGAUGAGCUCUGGAGUGUUAGAAGUCGGUCAACAAGGGGAUUUCUUUACCUUCCUGCUCCUCUGCAGCUGGCCUCUGUGGGGCCGGUGGUGAAGUGUGUCCUCUGCAGCCUCUAACAAGUACCAGCUGCACGUCCGCGGGACCGUCGUAACAACGGAGAAAUACUCCACAACGACCCCCCCGGUUAUGCAAAUGCCGGGGAAAUGUGUUAGCGGAUGGAAAAGCCCUAUUUGUGUAUGAAGAGGCCGUUUGUUUUAUAACACGGAUCCACAUACCCGUGUUAUAACAAGUUUACUGUUUAAUCUACACCCCCCCCCCCACACACACAUCUGUUAACCAAACCUACGCGUUACAGACAAACACAAACUAUUACUUGUUGAGUUGUGACACCAGAUGUGGUGGGAGAGAAGGGUCAAACUGUCAAAAGGUUAAAGGUCGAGCAGCCCCGUUGGUUGGAGAUGGUAUAUUUAUGUCCUUACCGUCCUGUGUUGCAGUCUUAAGCCUGAUUGUAGUUUGCUUUCUUCUGUUUUUUUCCUCCCCCAUGAAUGAAGAACGAAACCUCAACAUCCCGUCCCGUUGUUUAGCUUCUUCUCCCAGUCACCUUGUAAUUGUUUCUGUGUCACAAGCCGCUAUUAGCAUUGCUGGGGAGCGGUAAUGCUUCGAGGGGACUCAUCCCUCUGAGGGGACGGCUCUCUAUCACACUCUCGCAUUCUCUUAAAAGGGAAAAGGAAGAUGAAUUUUGCCCAUAAAGGCCGUAUCACGGGGGCUUUUUAUCCCAAAUGGCUCUGGGGAUUGUUAUCUGUGGGAAGUGUGUCCUGCCUCCGUCGUGUUCAAUCAAGUGUCCACUUAGCUGUGACUGCGAGUAAUUGUUCCCAAGUGGGCCACACGCUGACCCGUUAAUGCCGGCGCUGACCCUCUCACCUUGUCAGCACGUCUUGGGGAGGAGUUUAAAUCAUGUGGAUGUCCUGCGUCUUUACGCUACCGGGUCAAGUGGGCGUCCCCCCCCCCACCCUCCCCCCAAAAAGACCACUCUCUCGUAAUUGUCCCCAGCAGGGCGGGUGUUUCCAAACUCCGGCUCUCAUGAGAUGAGGUUCUAGGAGUGGGGUGAAUUAAUAGGUCACGCCAUUGAUCCGAUGUGGCCCCCGGCCCCCCCCGCUUCCCCCCUCACAACCACUGCAGAGCCGGAUCACAGUCGCGGUGUCCCUCACACCAGGAUGCUGUGGUCUUGCACUAUUUGACCGGUUUGAACCGGUUUCCACGUUGUAAUUUGCGGCGUGCGGUGAAGCGAGCAGCAGGUGAGCUGGUCACACGUAGUCGCGGUCAGACGCCCUCGGCGAGGACGGACCGCUGCGAGCGCCCGUCCGCUCACGAACGAGAGGCAAUUAACACGCGGCCAAGUGGCGUUUCCUCUCAGCGCGGCCGUCCUUUGUACGACCACACGUUUCCACGGCGAGCGUCAAGCGGCACGUUGAGGCGGCGUUCCAGUCGGAGGCCAACGUUCUAACUUUAUGUCGCCGUGUUUGGUUUCUUUCAGUUUUAUUUUUAUUUCAUGGACAAAUUACUCACUAAUACCGCGUUUUUAACAUCCAGCGCCUUUUAUUGGCAAUAAAGUCUCUAAUUCCAAGCCUCCUGAAGUGUGCGCUGUCCUCACACCCACUAACCUAAACCCCCGACUUCUCAUGAGUCAGUCACAGGCGAACAAACCGAGGCCCUGCUGUGCAUCCAUGAACGCGUUGUCUGUUGGGAUCAACGUAUUUUCAGGGGGGGUCUUACCUGGGCCCAGGAAUGUGGACUGCUCUGGUAAUGGAGUCGAUGGAUAACGACGAGUCUGGUCAGUUAUGGGUAGCGAAGUGAUUAUAUAUAUGCAAGCCCACACAUGCAGCCACAACUCCUGUUACGAGGACGGAACCAGAAGCCGUCCGUUCCUCCGCCUCGUUGGUCUGAAGCGUAUCUGGAAGUCAUUAGCAUCUUUCCACUCGUUUGUCUGGCUACACGUGAGCGCUUUUCCAGUUUGACGCCAGCUUUUUAGAAAGAACAAAAUGUUGUCUGGAUGUUUUUCUGGGGGCACAAGUCAUGCCUCACUUAUGGGAAGGGAACAUGCGCCAGGUGGAGACCACUUCAGGGACCGUGGGUCGCUGGUCACUAGCACACUAGUGGCUCCGUAGUGCGUCGCAGAGGUUGAAUGGCGUUAUGUAAGAACUAUGUCAUCGUCAAAAAACGUUCUGUGUUUCAGACGUCACGUGCCUGCCGGAUCGCUUUAAAGGGAAAAUAAUAUUCAACUUGUGAGUCCUGUAGUCGUAUGUUUUGAUCGUUCAUUCACUGACGGGAAGUGAAUGCAGCACGUUUUUCUCUUUUUUUUUUUCAAGUGGGUUUGUGAAAACAUUCUUACCGCGGUUACAAAGGUCAACCGCGUGACAUGUUUACUGUUUUUUAGGUUCGAAAUGAAUCACACUUUCUGUGAUUCAAACUCCCUUGCUACUAUUUGAGCGUCUUAUCUGUGGAGCGGCGCAGAUGAGGCGUUUGCGCCCCGACAGGAAUCCGUGCGUCACAUCAGAUACUUGCGGCCGGCGAUGAUCACUCUUACUUUUGUCUGUUGAAAGGCCGUUGUGUAAUUUCUGUACGUGUGGGCUCAGCGGGCCGGGUUAGGGGCUCCCCCCCCACACCUUUUCACUUCCUGUUUGUAAUAGUUGUAUCUCUCUCUUUCCUUCCGUCUCUCGCUCUCUUUCCUCCCCAGUGGUCCAGCCCUCGAGUCUGUAAGCUGAAUUCUGAUUGGAGGAAUGGAGCGCCGCUCUGUCCGGCCCCAGUGAUCCGGGUAUGUGGCAUUCGUACCACUAAGCAAUCUCCCGUGUGUGUGUGUGUGCGCUGUCGGGUCUGAUUGUCACACGUCCUCCACAAGUGUGGAUGCGAGUGGUACAAUAGUACGGGAUACGUCUUGGGUUAGAUGUGAUCUAAUUAACAAGUUUACUGACCGAUACUGAAAUCAUUUUGUAUGCAUUUAGCUGCAGGAAUGUUCUUGGGUCCCAAGCCUCUGCAUGUUUUCAUUCAUAUUCUUCUGUCCAUCCGUUUCCCCUUCCAUUGAACGUGCCCCGCCACCCCAACAAAGUGUCACUUAAAAUGAAAAUAAACACUUCCAAUACAUUCCACCGCCCGCCCCCAAAUUAAAAUAAUAAUCAUUAAAAGAAAACCGCGGGGCGCCCCCAUAUAUAAUGGCAGCGGAAACACUGACGCGACCUGCCGACCUUUGCCAAGUGGAAAAUAUGUGGUGAUGACAGUGAAAUGCAGUCAUCUGCAGCACAUGUGUUAAUGCGGCACAUUGCCCUCUACCUGAACGGUGCACCGUCAGCUGCUCCGCCUUGGUGACUCUGUAUGGGGGGGGGGGGGGGGUCACAGUAUCUUCGCCCUACUGUAUUCUUUCCGUCCCUCCCGCUCACCUCGGUCCGCCCUGAUUGGCCGAGCGCUUUCUGCGCCGCGCUCUGGCUGCUCGCCAGCGGCCGCUGAGCCCCCUGAUCACCAGAGAAUGUGACAUUUGUGCAGAGGUAAUGGAAUCUGUGUGCAAUUAAAUCUCUGCCUGUGAAGAGUAUACC